rnacentral:piRNA from 1 species
UCCAGUUUCAAUAUGUGUGCCUUGAAUGCC